CCCCGCCCCGCCCCUCCCUCCGGCUCCCGACGGAGGCUCCGCCCCCAGCCCGAGACUUGGCGCCGUCCGACCCGGGAGCGAGCGCCCCUUUGCACCCUUCUCCAAGGAUGGCCCCGCGGGGCUCUGCAGGGACGAGUUUCGGUGUCUGCAGCCUUCCCUUUCCCAUAACGUGCGCGUAGAAAGCUUUCUGUGGAACGUUACCUCUGAGGCCAGUUGCCAAAACCCAACCAUAAGGGUGUCAUCCCAUGGACCAUAUCUUAGAGGUUUUUACUUACAAGUGAGAACAAGAAUGAAUGCAUUAAAAAGUGAUUUUGUCCAGAUAACUUCAGGAUAUAGAAAGCCAUUUACUUUGUCUACCAAGAGGACCCGAUUCUGCAUCUCCAGCUGCAACUGAUCUGUAAGAUUUGGAAGACUCCCAGGAGUGUUGACCGGGGUAUCUGGGAUUAAUGGUUGACCCCCAUUACACAUCCAGAACCCUACUCCCCCAUCUACUUCUCAGAUUUGGCCUUCAGCCAAAGAGCUCCUCAUUGCAAAGUUUAAGAAUGUGACAUAUACAAACAUGAUCACAGAAUGCAUUCCAUAUGCUGGCUUUUGGGUCACACAGAAUGGAGAUGUUAAGAAUAUGUUAAUAUGGUUGCUUUUAAGACAAUUUUGUAUUGUGGUUUUUGCUUUCCUAAAUGCCUGAAGUCUUUCUUAUUGUGCCAAAUUUAGCAAGAAAUCUAGAAAAUGAAAGGCGGUAGUGGAACUAAAACAUUCAAAUUUUAACUCUAUAAUAUACCAUUGAGUUUCACAUAUUAUAAAAACUUAAUAUGAUUCAGAUAAGUCUGGUAGUGUCAAAACCUUCAAAUCCAUAAAAUACAGUACGUAGUAAGUAACUCAGAUGUUUAUUAAGCAUCUACUAUAUACAAAGCUCCAUUCUAUGUAUUUUGUAAGAACUACAAAGGGAAUAAUAUAUUGAUUCAGGCCUUCAAGGAGUGUACAGUUGAACUGGGUAUAAAGGAGAGGAGUAAUGCUCAUAUAAGACUGUAGUGAAUCCAAGGAUUAGAGCUCUCUUAUUAUAUAUGAGAGAAGGAAAAGUCUGAGUACUUCUUUUAAGCUGUUUUACUGUCACAAGGUGAGGUAUACUUUAAAAAUAUGGUACAUUUUGCCAUGGAUUCCUUGCUAUAUUUGUGUAUGUAUGUGUGUGUGCCUUCUUAGUAUUUGUUUCUGUGAUUUGAUUAUAAUGUGUAUAGUUACAUAUUUUUAAAACUUUAAUCUUUGAAUGUAUUGAUCUUUCAGAUAAGAUAAUUUGAAUGUUUUGGCAGUAACAGAAAAUUUUUAGCCAUUUUCAAUUUGAAUAUUGCCUCUUCUCCAUUCUCUUUAUUGCAUCCCUCAUAAAACCUGGUUGUGAUUUG
rnacentral:lncRNA from 1 species